rnacentral:rRNA from 1 species
GACGAACGCUGGCGGCGUGCCUAAUACAUGCAAGUCGAGCGCUGAAGGUUGGUACUUGUACCAACUGGAUGAGCAGCGAACGGGUGAGUAACGCGUGGGGAAUCUGCUUUUGAGCGGGGGACAACAUUUGGAAACGAAUGCUAAUACCGCAUAAAAACUUUAAACACAAGUUUUAAGUUUGAAAGAUGCCAUUGCAUCACUCAAAGAUGAUCCCGCGUUGUAUUAGUUAGUUGGUGAGGUAAAGGCUCAUCAAGGCGUGGACACAUAGCCGACCUGAGAGGGUGGUCGGCCACAUUGGGACGGGGACACGGCCCAAACGCCUUCGGGAGGCAGCAGUAGGGAAUCGGCAGGAAUGGGCGAAAAUCUGAGCGAGAAACGCCGCGUGAGGGAAGAAGGGUUUCGGGUCGUAAAACUCUGUUGGUAGGGAAGAAAGUGGGUGAGAGUGGAAAGCUCAGCGAGUGACGGUAACUAGCCAGAAAGAAACGGCUAACUACGUG